UAGGGAAUAUUGCACAAUGGAGGAAACUCUGAUGCAGCGACACCGCGUGAGUGAUGAAGGACUUCGGUUCGUAAAGCUCUGUCGUAUGGGAAUAAUAAAGUGAAGGUACCAUGCAAGAAAGGAUCGGCUAACUUCGUGCCAGCAGCCGCGGUAAGACGAGGGAUCCUAGCGUUGUUCGGAAUCAUUGGGCGUAAAGCGGAUGUAGGUGGCUCCGUAAGUCAGGUGUGAAAUCCCAGGGCUCAACCCUGGACGUGCAUUUGAUACUGCGGAGCUUGAGUGCUAGAGAGGCUAUUGGAAUUCCUGGUGUAGUGGUGAAAUACGUAGAUAUCAGGAGGAACAUCGGAGGCGAAGGCGGAUAGCUGGCUAGACACUGACACUCAGAUCCGAAAGCGUGGGGAUCAAACAGG
rnacentral:rRNA from 1 species